GAUGAACGCUGGCGGCGUGCCUAAUACAUGCAAGUCGAGCGAACGGAAGCGUAGCUUGCUUUUCUGAUGUUAGCGGCGGCCGGGUGAGUAACACGUGGAUAACCUACCUAUAAGACUGGGAUAACUUCGGGAAACCGGAGCUAAUACCGGCUAAUAUUUUGAAACGCAUGGUUCAAAAGUGAAAGACGGUCUUGCCGUCACUUAUAGAUGGAUCCGCGCUGGCUUAGCUAGUUGGUAAUUUACCGGCUUACCAAUGCAACGAUGCAUAGCCGUCCUGAGAGGGUGAUCCUCCUCACUGGAGCUGAGAAGCGAUCCGGAUUCCGACGGGUGCCAACAGUGUGGAAUCUUGCGCAAUGUGCAAGAGCCUGACGGAGCAACGCAGCGUGAGUGAAGAUGGUCUUCGGAUCGUAAAACUCUGUUAUUAGGGAAGAACAUAUGUGUAAGUAAAUGUGCCCAUCUUGACGGUACGUAAUCAGAAAGCCACGGCUAACUACGUG
rnacentral:rRNA from 1 species